rnacentral:lncRNA from 1 species
UAUUCCUCAGACUUUUAUCAUGAAAGUGUGUUUAAUUUUGUCAUGACUUUUUCUACAUUUAAUGAGAUAAUUUCUACAGGUUUUUAAAACUGCAUAUUUAUGAUGCUUUGAAUUUCCUCAGUAUCUGUUGCCACACCCCUGUUUUCAUUUCUUCUUCUUCUUUUUGUUGUUUUGUUUUAAUUGAGUGUACAUUUUUCUCACAUACAAUACAUUCUGACCACACAUUUUGUACAUCCGUUCCUCUCAACCCUGCCCUGCCCAACUACUUUUGCCCCAGAUCACUCUAUCUUUGAUUACUGUCACAAAAGAGCCAUCCUCAAGAGACAACAAACAAAUAAAAAAAAAACCUGAGAUACAAUAAGACAAACAAAGGCCUCAUAUUGAAGCCGGACAAGACAACCCAUAGUGAGUGACAUGAGAGGCAGGGGGAAGAAUUCCAAGAGCAGCCAAAAGAAUCAGAGACAUACCAGUGUUAUAAAUCCCACAAAACCAUGAAGCUAAUAGCCAUAAUGUACUCGUAGAACCUUGCAGGUCCCAUGUCUGCUGCCUCAGUCCUUGUUAAUCCAUAUGAGCAAUUCUUAGUUGAUUUGGUGAGUCAUGCUCUCUGGUGUCUCCCAUUCUGUGACUCCUACAAUCUUUUCUUCCCUUCUUCCUUGGUGUUCUCUGAUUUCCGAGGGGAGAGAAAUAAUAAAGACCACCAAUUUAGAUCCCCUUUCUAGAUAUUUUUUGGCUCUGCUUCUCUGUACUGGUGGCCAGAAGAAGCGUCUCUGAUAAAGACUGGACAAAGCACUGAUCUAUGAGUACUGUAAAAUAUCAUUAAGAAUUACUUCAUUGAAUUGUGAUGGUGGAGAACAGUAGUGAUUUUUUUUUCCUAGCUUGUCUCUGAACUAUUCAGUCUCCAGUUUCCGGUUAAUGGGUGAAUUUUUUAUUCACUGUUGGAGGUUGUUGUGUAGCUUAUUCUGCACACUGCUUGCAAACUAUCCCAUUAAAGCUCUAUCAGAUUUAUUAAAUUACUGUCAUUGAAGAAUUUAAAUCCAGGAGAGUAUGCUAAACCUGUCUGAGCUGUUUGAACUAACUCUGCAUGUUGUAGCUAUAUGGUUGGGACAUAUUCUCAAACUUCACAUCAUGAUGACCACAUAUCCAGGAUGUUAGUCAAUGUGGACUUGUGCAGGAGGUGGUAAAUCAUAGGGAAAGAUUGCAUGGCUGUGAAGAGCAAAGAAAAGGGUAAUUGGAAAACAUUCUGGGAUGUCCAUGGCCAAAUCUCUUUGACCAUGUCUCAUCUUGUAUUAAAUAAAGGGUAGAGGGCUUCAUGUAGCACCCAUAACUACACAGCAGAGACUAAAAAUCCUGUAUCACUAAUCAAUAGGAACAAUUCAACUUUUAACAUAGUCAGAGGUACUGAUUCAAGCAGAAUGUAUCCCAACACUAGCUGUUUAAUCAGCAGAAUGUUCAGGAAAACCUGGCAAGUGCACCAGAAAAUAGAAUCCCUGAAUUCAUUGAAGAAAGCCACCAUAGAAAUCUUAUGACGGGUUGAGUUUUAGAUCAGGUCUGACAUUGCAUUAGUCAGCAAGCAAAUAAGAGUGCCUGUCCUCAUGUGGCCUUUUGGGAGGCGAGGAACAAGCAGGAGUGGGUGGUUGGUCUUUUAACUGCUGUCAUAUUUCUAGUUCUGAGAGCAUGCCUUCCUAAUCUUGGAUACGUACAAAGCAAUUUUCAGAUGUUCUGAGAGGAAGUUACCCCAGUCUCUCCCUGCUCCUGUUUCUUUCCUCUAGUGUGUUGAAAUGGCAAGGUCUUGCCUAUUCCUUUAUCUAUUUCAGAUCAAGCAUCUAUAAAACAGGCAUUUCUAAACAGGUACAGAAUCAAUGACACAGGUCUGAUCGUCCUCUUAGCCUAAGUGCAAAGGCGUGCUCACUCCUUCUUGAGAUUCUCUCUUGGUACCAUAUACGUGCUGUGCAUAUUGAAGCCAGACAAGCUGUGCAUAUAUGUGCUGUGCAUAUACGUGCUGUGCACAUGCUACUUCAUUGGUGCCUAGCCCUCAGGAGUUUCUCUGAAUAAUUUUCUCCUGGCAGAAUGAACACACAUAUGUUGAUGUUUCUGCCUUCUAACCGUGAGGUUCUGGAUUUUCUUUCAGACUCUGUGAACCUGUUAACUAUAAUACCAAAAAUACCCUCUCCCAUUUCCCUGUGGCCCCCUCCUCUUUUUCUCUGGCUAUAUUUGUUUAGAAAAAUCCAUUUUUUUAAAAAAUCAAGAUUCAUGGAGAAGAGAGAUGUGGCAAUAGGAAAAGGCUGUGGCAACAGAAAAGUGCUGUGAUUGUUUAUUUUUCUCUGUCUCAGUUAAUUGUGUUUAAAAUGAAUAAGUAGAAUAACUUAACAAUAUUCACUUAGUCUUCUGUGCUAUAUAACCAUAUAUCAGCCUCUGUAGGGAACAGUUAUCUGAACAAAGUUACCUGUCAUGAUUAUAAAUAAGCAGCGCAGAGGCAGAAAAAUUAUAGCAGAAAAUUUUUACCAUAGAUCUCCACCAUGAAUCUCCAGAAGUGAACUGAAAACUUGUUUUCUAAAGCAUUAUUUAUUUGAAUUGAAACUGGAGCUAUCUUAAAUGACAUGUUACAAAGGCUUCUUAAAAUGCAGUUUUGUGGAAAUGACAAACAGUCAACAGGCUGCUUCCAUUAAGGAUAUGGAACAUGUGCAAUGUUCAAUAGACAGAAAAUAAAUUCAAGAUUUUAUUAAACAAAUCAUCAGUGAAAAAUGUACAAGCCUAGGUUGCAAAAAUGACCUUUGACACAUCAUCCCUCACUGGAGGAAAUACAGUAUGUGUGGGUCUUCUUGUUCUCCCAUUUACUCACUGGAAAAUAUUCACCAAUGGCAUUCAAUUUUUAUUGAGUAUUCAAAGGCACCUACCCAGACUAUUUGUUGUUUUUUUUGUUUUUUUUUUUUUUGUUUUUGUUUUGUUUUGUUUUGUUUUGUUUUUGUUUGUUUGUUUGUUUUUGGUUUUGGUUUUGGUUUUUCGAGACAGGGUUUCUCUGUAUAGCCCUGGCUGUCCUGGAACUCACUCUGUAGACCAGGCUGGCCUCGAACUCGAACUCAGAAAUCCACCUGCCUCUGCCUCCCGAGUGGUGGGAUUAAAGGCAUGCGCCACCAUGCCCGGCUAGACUAUUUGGUUUGUGCUGUCUGGGCCACACUCAUCAGUGUUUGAAGAAGGUAGGUUGUGGUCCUUUUCUAAACAGUCAGACUAGUCACCAUUAUUCCCCCUUUACAUUUUUAAAAAUAUAUAUACAACCUCUUGCGUCUUUUGAAAUACAUAUAAUUCCAGAACUACACUAGAACAGAAAGGGUGACUUCUUGAGUCUCUUCAGCUGUUCCAGAAUCCUUUC